CCAUGCAGUCGAGCGGUAGCACAGAGAGCUUGCUCUCGGGUGACGAGCGGCGGACGGGUGAGUAAUGUCUGGGAAACUGCCUGAUGGAGGGGGAUAACUACUGGAAACGGUAGCUAAUACCGCAUAAUGUCGCAAGACCAAAGUGGGGGACCUUCGGGCCUCAUGCCAUCAGAUGUGCCCAGAUGGGAUUAGCUAGUAGGUGGGGUAACGGCUCACCUAGGCGACGAUCCCUAGCUGGUCUGAGAGGAUGACCAGCCACACUGGAACUGAGACACGGUCCAGACUCCUACGGGAGGCAGCAGUGGGGAAUAUUGCACAAUGGGCGCAAGCCUGAUGCAGCCAUGCCGCGUGUGUGAAGAAGGCCUUCGGGUUGUAAAGCACUUUCAGCGGGGAGGAAGGCGUUAAGGUUAAUAACCUUGGCGAUUGACGUUACCCGCAGAAGAAGCACCGGCUAACUCCGUGCCAGCAGCCGCGGUAAUACGGAGGGUGCAAGCGUUAAUCGGAAUUACUGGGCGUAAAGCGCACGCAGGCGGUCUGUCAAGUCGGAUGUGAAAUCCCCGGGCUCAACCUGGGAACUGCAUUCGAAACUGGCAGGCUAGAGUCUUGUAGAGGGGGGUAGAAUUCCAGGUGUAGCGGUGAAAUGCGUAGAGAUCUGGAGGAAUACCGGUGGCGAAGGCGGCCCCCUGGACAAAGACUGACGCUCAGGUGCGAAAGCGUGGGGAGCAAACAGGAUUAGAUACCUGGUAGUGCACGCCGUAAACGAUGUCGAUUUGGAGGUUGUGCCCUUGAGGCGUGGCUUCCGGAGCUAACGCGUUAAAUCGACCGCCUGGGGAGUACGGCCGCAAGGUUAAAACUCAAAUGAAUUGACGGGGGCCCGCACAAGCGGUGGAGCAUGUGGUUUAAUUCGAUGCAACGCGAAGAACCUUACCUGGUCUUGACAUCCACAGAACUUUCCAGAGAUGGAUUGGUGCCUUCGGGAACUGUGAGACAGGUGCUGCAUGGCUGUCGUCAGCUCGUGUUGUGAAAUGUUGGGUUAAGUCCCGCAACGAGCGCAACCCUUAUCCUUUGUUGCCAGCGGUCCGGCCGGGAACUCAAAGGAGACUGCCAGUGAUAAACUGGAGGAAGGUGGGGAUGACGUCAAGUCAUCAUGGCCCUUACGACCAGGGCUACACACGUGCUACAAUGGCAUAUACAAAGAGAAGCGACCUCGCGAGAGCAAGCGGACCUCAUAAAGUAUGUCGUAGUCCGGAUUGGAGUCUGCAACUCGACUCCAUGAAGUCGGAAUCGCUAGUAAUCGUAGAUCAGAAUGCUACGGUGAAUACGUUCCCGGGCCUUGUACACACCGCCCGUCACACCAUGGGAGUGGGUUGCAAAAGAAGUAGGUAGCUUAACCUUCGGGAGGGCG
rnacentral:rRNA from 1 species